AGUCCGGGAAGACCCACCAACCCACGGCAGAAUCCAGCAGGACGUGAAGUACCUUCUUGUCUCCGGAUAAUCACAGCGGGAGGAGUGUGUACCCAGAUCUGCUGCUUGUGGUUGGAUGCAGACUGAAGCCAAGCUGAAGAGCGAGAAGAUGACGAAGGCAAUGAUGAUGAAGAGUAUCCUCCAAGCCACACCUUCACCAUCCUGGAAGGAGUAGCACUGGAUCCUAUAACAAAGUACACAAACACCC